AAGGAAACUGUUUUUUUUUCCCUUGGGCUGCUGCAUUGCCUUCUCGCCUCACGUGUGUCUGGAUGGUGCGCCUCUCUCUCCCUCAUCUCAUCCCUCGGAGAUGAGCAUGCCUUCAUCUAUCCACACCUACACACACACACACACACACACGUGCAAGAUCGCUACCGUUUGCGCCUUGUGUGAAUCAACUCGGUGCCCAUCCGACACGACCGCUUUCGUGUUACGUAUGCGUGUCUGGAAAGGGGACUGGGGAGGGGGAUGCAGGCAGACUGAAGAGGUCGUGCACCCUCAUGUCUGGGAACCUCGAGCCAUGAACUGGCAAGUGGCGUACCCCAGUUGGAGGCGCUCUGAGCGAAUAUGGCACUGAUGGUGACGGUUGCAGAGGAAAAGCCUUCGUUCUCCUCGCUUUCCCUCUCAUUCAAUGGCGGCAGUGUAGAAGGUGCCCGCUGUAUACAUCUAUAUCUGUGUGUGUGUGUGUGCCUUUAUAUUGUUCUUUUCCCCUCACCCCUGCUCUCCUGUACACUGCCUCGCUUGACUUGUCUCACCAUCCCUCUUUCGACAGGCUGUGCCGACUGUGCGUGCGGGCUGUGUGUGUCUAUGCGUGUAUCGGGUGGGGGGAAGGUGAGUGUCUCUUUGUUGUUGCGGUUGUCUCCAACCCACCCUCCUUCGUUUAUCCAUGUGCUCGCAUGCUGUGCGGCCUUCCAUACCCGCCUCCUCCCCACACUUCUCUCUUUCAUCGCUUCCAUGGUUCACUGGCGCGAUUUCACACACGCACGCACACACACACACACAUACACACAUGAUAGAAGGGUGCAUCUGCACACUGACAUGUCCUCAUUUCCAUGUAUCUUACCUUCGUGUCUCUCCCCCUUCUCUUUCUCCCGCUAUGGUUUCCGCUGUUGGCUCAAGUCGGCAUCUGCGUCUCACGAUAGAGACGGAGGGACGCCCGGUAUGCAGCGCACAGGCAUACGCGGAACUCUGCAUGGCUCCUUUUUAUGCCUGGCGCUCUCUUCCUUCCGCUCUCCUUUUCCUUCGCUAGAUGACCAUCGUCUCUCCAUCUCUGUCUGUGUCUGUGUGGGUGCGGUGCACCCGUCAGUAUAUGUAUAUGCAUCCAAGGCGACUCAUCUUACGCACCACCGCAUCUCCCUCCCAUUACUUCUCCCUUUCCGAGGACUGUUGCCGUCUUUCUAUACACUUCAGACACGAUUGCCUUCCACGAGCGCAUACACAGUCCAGCAAGGGCUGUUGCUUCCCACCCACCCCCUGUCUCGUAUCCCUUUGUGCGUGUGUGUGUGUGGGAGGGGGGCCUACGCGCGUGUUUAUCUGCUUACGUCUGUAGGCGUGUGUAUGCGUGCGUGCGCGCAUCUCUCUGUCUGUGUGUGCGCCCCUUUCCCUCCCUGGCUUGUUUUUCCAGCUUUCCAUCGCUCCCCCCUCCCAUCCCCUCUUCUGCUGCGGCUCUCCGCUCAAGGUAUGGAAAAAAACGGUUUGCCUCUCUCGUUGUUUUAGUCGUCGUGUCUCGUAGUGGCCUCUCGCGAUUCUCAUUCCAAACCGUAAAAUCGAUUGUUAUGUCUCACUCACUCCAUCUCUCCCUCUGCGCGUGUGUGUGCGCGCGAGAGUGUCGUUAAAGCCGCGUCGCAUUCUCCUUUCUCCAUCCGUCUCGAUGGACAUCCCCUCUUUCGUUGAUCCGUGCGUCUCCCCUGUCGCUGGUGCCCGCCCGGCUUUUCUCUCUCUGGUUUUUGGUCACGUUUUAUUUUAUGCCGAUGCUAUUGCAGCCCGAAGUCCUCGUCGUUAUGGCGGCGUAUGGGUUUGCUGGACAUGAAGGAGGCAGGCCGGGGGCGAGUGAGGGGAGGCUUGAUGGCAGGCGAUGCCGUAGGUGAGGCGCACUCUACAGAUCGUUCUGCAAUCUUCAUUACGCUUCCGGCCACUCCCACUCAUCCUUUCCCUCUUGCACGUGCAUGGAUCAUCCACGGAGUGCGUUGCUUCGCCUUUCUCGGAUAAGCCACCGUGGGAAGUGCUUCCCAUUCCUAUACACAGCCCUUCCUCUCUCAUUAUUAUAAUCGCGUGUUCUCUCCCUGCUUCACUGUGUAAACACACAAGCGCGCGCGCACAAGUCUGUGUGUCUGGGUGUGUAUGCCCCGCCCUGCCCAUCCUCAGCCCUCUUGCUUUCUCUUUUGGGUCGCCAUCACUUCCUCGUGCCGCCUCUGGUGGACGUAGAGAGAGCGAGAGAGGCUGUCUUGAGGAGAGAGGACUGGGGCUGCGCGUGCGCGCAUUGAUGAUCUCGCUGAUUGCUGGUGGAUGCGCCCCAUUUACGCACAUAUGUAAACGUGCAAGUGUUGUGUGCUUUCCUACCAGGUAUUGGUGUGUGUGUGUGUGUGGUGGGGGGGAGGGCUCUCCUCUCUCCUUCCUUCGCUUAUGUCUUCAUACGUUCGUGGAGGCCGUGCACCUCCCCUUCCCCCCUCCCCCCACCGACGCGUUUCUCUUCCCUCCUCCAGUUUCGUCGUUGCUUCGAACUAGGUUUGCAGGUACGGCCCCAUCGUUUUCUUGUCUGUCCCCUGUAUGGUUCUCUUCCUGUGUACAUGUGCAUGCGAUGUGCUAAGCUUGAUGACCGGUGCUGCUGUCGUGGAGGAGAGGGAGGUGAGGGAGGGCGUAUGCAACUGCGACGAAGCGCGCUGAUGUCCCGUCCUGCCUGCCUCCCUCCCUCCACUCGCACCCUUGUGUGUAUCUGGUGUCAGUUGGAUGCCCGAUUUCCGCCCUCACCUCUCUCGCCCUUUGUUGAUGUGCCUCUGUGCGUUGAUCUGUCUCGAAAGGUGUGCGCACUCAGCGCCAACGAAAUCGGUGAGCAUACGCACAUACUAUCACAUGCAGCCACACACACACACACACACACACAUGAAAAGCAGUGUGCGAGAGCCUGCACGCACUCUGACAACGUCGCUGUCGGUGGCUGGAUCCCUUGUCGCAUCUCGCAUGCCUCUCUCCAUUUCCUCUCAUCUAUCCUCCUCCCCCUGUUGGCAGUGUGCGGUGGUUGCUGAGAAGCGAGGGGGAGGGGGACUGGAGAAGGAGGGAUGAAAGAGGCCGAAAUGUCGCAGAGGGGGGGUGGAGGGUAGGGCAGAGAGAGCCCACUGCGGCAAGCGCGGGCGCUCUUCACCCUAGCCACAUCUCAUUCGAGUCCGUCGCUUCGCCGCCUCCCUCACCCCAUCCUUCCCUUACUUAGCGGCUCUUCGCCUCCUGCGUU
rnacentral:misc_RNA from 1 species